rnacentral:rRNA from 1 species
UACGUAGGGGGCAAGCGUUGUCCGGAUUUAUUGGGCGUAAAGCGCGCGUAGGCGGCGCGGUAUGUCGUGCGUGAAAUCUCCCGGCUUAACUGGGAGGGGCCGUGCGAAACUGCCGGGCUUGAGGUCGGAAGGGGAAAGUGGAAUUCCGGGUGUAGUGGUGGAAUACGUAGAUAUCCGGAGGAACACCAGCGGCGAAGGCGGCUUUCUGGUCCGAUACUGACGCUGAGGUGCGAAAGCGUGGGGAGCGAUCCGG